rnacentral:lncRNA from 10 species
ACUACUCAGUGGAAACAUGCAAAAUACUUUCUUUACCCAUGUCAGGCCUCUGAGCCCAAGCUAAGCCAUCAUAUCCCCUGUGACCUGCAUGUACACAUCCGGAUGGCCGAUUCCUGCCUUAAUUGAUGACAUUCCACCACAAAAGAAGUGAAAAUGGACUGUUCCUGCCUUAACGGAUGGCAUUAUCUUGUGAAAUUCCUUCUCCUGGCUCAAAAGCUCCCCUACUGAGCACCUUGUGACCCCCACUCCUGCCCGCCAGAGAACAACCCCCCUUUUCCUUUACCUACCCAAAUCCUAUAAAACGGCCCCACCCCUAUCUCCCUUUGCUGACUCUCUUUUCGGACUCAGCCCGCCUGCACCCAGGUGAAAUAAAUAGCCAUGUUGCUCACACAAAGCCUGUUUGGUGGUCUCUUCACACAGAUGCACAUGAAAUUUGGUGCCGUGACUCGGAUCGAGGGACCUCCCUUGGGAGAUCAAUCCCCUGUCCUCCUGCUAUUUGUUCCAUGAGAAAGAUCCACCUACGACCUCAGGUCCUCAGACCAACCAGCCCAAGAAACAUCUCACCAAUUUCAAAUCCAGUAAGUGGCCUCUUUUUCCUCUCUUCUCCAACCUCUCUCACUGUCCCUCAACCACUUUCACCUUUCCACUCUUCAAUCUCUCCCUUCUUUUAAUUUCAAUUCCUUUCAUUUUCUGAUAGAGACAAAGGAGACACGUUUUAUCUGUGGACCCAAAACUCUGGCACUGGUCACGGACUAGGGAAGGCAGCCUUCCCUUGGUGUUUAAUCAUUGCAGGGACACCUCUCUGAUUAUUCAUCCAGGUUUCAGAGGUGUCAGACCACGCAGGGACGCCUACCUUGGUCCUUCACCCUUAGCAGCAAGUCCCACUUUUCUGGGGUAGGGGCAAGUACCCCAACCCCUUCUCUCCGUGUCUCUACCCCUUCUGCGCCUUUCUGGGGGGCAAGGAACCCCCAACCCCUUCUCCUUCACUCUUAGUGGCAAGUCCCGCUUUUCUAGAGGAGGGGCAAGUGCCCCAAGCUCAUAUCUCUGCGCCCCAAUCCCUUAUUUCCGCACCCCAACCUCUUAUAUCUCUGCGCCGCAAUCCCUUAUUUCUGUGCACCGACCUCUUAUCUCUGUGCCCCAAUCCCUCAUUUCCGUGCCCCAACCUCUUAUAUCUCUGUGCCCCGAUCCCUUAUUUCCAUGCCCCAACCUCUUAUAUCUCUGCACCCUGAUCCCUUAUUUCCACACCCCAACCUCGUAUCUCUGCACCCCAACCCCUUUCCCGCUUUUCUGGAGGGUAAGAACCCCCGAACCGCUUCCCUCCAUGUCUCUACUCUCCCUUUUCCUUAAACUUGCCUCUUUCACUAUGGGCAACAUUCCACCCUCCAUUCCCCCUUCUUCUCCCUUAGCCUGUGUUCUUAAGAACUUAAAACCUCUUCAACUCUCACCUGACCUAAAAUCUAAGCACUUUAUUUUCUUCUGCAAUGCCGCUUGACCCCAAUACAAACUUGACAGUAGUUCCAAAUAGCCAGAAAACAGCACUUUCAAUUUUUCCACCCUGCAAGAUCUAAAUAAUUCUUGUCGUAAAAUGGGCAAACGGUCUGAGAUGCCUGACGUCCAGGCAUUCUUUUACACAUCGGUCCCUCCCUAGUCUCUGUGCCCAGCGCAACUCAUCCCAAAUCUUCCUUCUUUCCCUCCCACCUGUCCCCUCAGUCCCAACCCCAAGUGUCACUGAGUCUUUCUAAUCUUCCUUUUCUACAGACCCAUCUGACCUCUCCCCUCCUCCCCAGGCUGCUCCUCGCCAGGCCGAGCUAGGUCCCAAUUCUUCCUCAGCCUCCGCUCCUCCACCCUAUAAUCCUUUUAUCACCUCCCCUCCUCACUCCCGGUCCAGCUUGCAGUUUCGUUCCGUGACUAGCCCUCCCCCACCUGCCCAGCAAUUUACUCUUAAGAAGGUGGCUGGAGCUAAAGGCAUAGUCAAGGUUAAUGCUCCUUUUUCUUUAUCCCAAAUCGGAUAGCAUUUAGGCUCUUUUUCAUCAAAUAUAAAAAUCCAGCCCAGUUCAUGACUCGUUUGGCAGCAACCCUGAGACACUUUACAGCCCUAGACCCUAAAAGUUCAAAAGGCCGUCUUAUUCUCAAAAUACAUUUUAUUACCAAUCUGCUCCCAACAUUAAAUAAAACUCCAAAAAUUAAAUUCCGGCCCUCAAACCCCACAACAGGAUUUAAUUAACCUCGCCUUCAAGGUGUACAAUAAUAGAAAAAAGUUGCAAUUCCUUGCCUCCACUGUGAGACAAACCCCAGCCACAUCUCCAGCACACAAGAACUUCCAAAUGCCUGAACCACAGUGGCCAGGCGUUCCUCCAGAACCUCCUCCCCCAGGAGCUUGCUACAAGUGCCAGAAAUCUGGCCACCAGGCCAAGGAAUGCCUGCAGCCCAGGAUUCCUCCUAAGCCGCGUCCCAUCUGUGCGGGACCCCACUGGAAAUCGGACUGUUCAACUCACCUGGCAGCCACUCCCAGAGCCCCUGGAACUCUGGCCUAAGGCUCUCUGACUCCUUCCCAGAUCUUCUUGGCUUAGCGGCUGAAGACUGACACUGCCCGAUCACCUCGGAAGCCCCCUAGACCAUCACGGAUGCUGAGCUUCGGGUAACUCGCACAGUGGAAGACCUGUUCCUUCUACCCAAGAAAGAACAGUUAAUGAAGCCACAUGAGCAUCCCUCCCUGCCAACAGGUGUACACCUUAGAGAAGAGACAGACAAGUAUAUGACGUAAUCGGAUAAAUGUCUCGACAAUCUAUUACAGCAGCUCAACAAAGGGCCACCUAAUUGAACCUGGAAGUAUCAGGAAGGCUUCCUGGAAAACGUGAUAGCUAAGUGGAGUUUUUAACAAUAGUAGUAAUAAUAACAACCUUGUUAUUCUAAAUGGUUCAUAUUUAUUUUUUAAUAAAAAAUAUUUCAUAUUUUUUAUUUAUGAAUAAAUAUUUAAUAUUUGCAGCAGCCCCAUGAUCAAUGUACUAUUAUUAUCCAUUUUACAGAUAAGCAGGUGGAGGUAAAAAGGGGUUAAGUUACUUGCCCAAGUCAGUACAGACAGAGAGUGAAAGGGUCAGGAUAUAAAUCUAGUCUAGCCUGAAUCCAUAGCCCAUUUUUAACCACCCACUAUGCUAAAAUCUUUUCUAUUUCAAGCAGAGGAAAGAAGGUGUUCAAUGUGCUGAGAUAUGAGAAAACACCAAGCAUUCAGGGACCUGCAAGCAGGUCAAUAAAGUUAAAGCAUAGUGUAUGAGUAAUGAGUGCCAAAAAUAAGUGUAACUUUAUCAGUAAGAAUUGCAGGCACUGUUGGUUAUAACUUUUGAUUCACGUACACUGCUCAGAAAGACAAAGUUGUGCUGCAAUAACAACACAACUUCAAAAUUUCAGUGGCUUAAAACAACAAAUGUUUAUUUCUUGCUCAUAUGACACAUCCAAUAUGGAAAGUUCUGCUCAUGAGACCCACUUAGAAACCAAGGCUAAUGUGGGCCAUAUCUUAACUCUUGGCUUCCAGGAUUGUUCUGGCAGGAAAAGAGAGAAUUGCGGAAUCAAGCACCCGCAGUUAAAUGCUUUGGCCCAGAAGUGAUGUGUGUCACAUUUCAUUGUCCAAUGCUAGUUACAUGAUGAUACCUAACUUCAAGAGGGCAGGGAAGUACAAUCCCUGUACUUGUACUUUGAAUCUGAGCAGUACUUGAGAUCAGUAACUGCAUACCAUAAGUUAUUGUCUUCAGUAUUGAAAAGUAAUACCAUGCAGCACAUAAAAAUACGAUUUGGGCCGGGCGUGGUGGCUCACGCCUGUAAUCCCAGCACUUUGGGAGGCCGAGGCGGGUGGAUCAUGAGGUCAGGAGAUCGAGACCAUCCUGGCUAACACAGUGAAACCCCGUCUCUACUAAAAAUACAAAAAAUUAGCCGGGAGCGGUGGCGGGCUCCUGUAGUCCCAGCUACUUGAGAGGCUGAGGCAGGAGAAUGGCGUGAACCCAGGAGGCGGAGCUUGCAGUGAGCCGAGAUCGCGCCACUGUACUCCAGCCUGGGCGACAGAGCCAGACGCUGUCUCAAAAAAAAAAAAAAAAAAAAAAAAAUACGAUUUGAAGUCAGACACAAUGAGGUGAGAAUCCCAACUUCACAACUCAUUAGUCUGCGUGAUUCUGAUUAUGGUUCUUAGCCCUCAAAAUUGCAGUUUCUUUUUCUUAAAUAUAGAGACAUUCCCUUUCGAGAUUGCUGUGAGGUUUAAAUGAGAUUAUGUCUAAAAGCUUAGUGCUUAUGACAAAGUAGAAGUCCAAUAAAUGGUGGCUUUAUUUGGAAUUGAUCAAGAAUUUGCAAUUUAGUAAAAGUCAAGAGCAGACUACAAAAAGGAUUGUAGUUGAUUGGAAUCAUCACCAUAGGUUAUAUAACAAAAUAUUCAGUGAAGAAGCAGGAAAUUAUAGUUAAUGUGCAAUAAACCAGGGAUUCUCUUCCUAGUUUCUCAUUUAUAUUAGCCUUUUAAAGCUGCCUAACAAAUUACCAUAAACAUACUGGCUUAAAACAAUUCCUGUGUAUUAGCUUACAGUUUUGUAGGGUGGAAGUCCAAGCAGGGCUCAGUUUUCUGAUCAGUUUCUCACAGGCUGAAAUCAAAGUGUUGACCGGGCUGCAUUCUCAUCUGGAGCUGGGUUCUUCUUCCAGUGUUAUGUCCUCACUGCAGAAUUCAGCUCCUUCCAGUAUGUGAUUGACGUGCCCGUUCCUUGCUGGCUAUUGGUCAGGAGCUGCUCUCAGCAGCUAGAGUUCAUCCACAGUUCCUUGCCACAUGGCCCCCAAAGACAAUCACAAUAUGGUUGUUUGCUUUCUUCCAAGCCAGGAGGUAUUCCUUCUCUCAGACUACAUCCUCUAUGAAUAGCCCUAGAAAACACUCUAAGCUUUUAAAGAGAUCACCUGAUUAGCUCAGGCUCUUUUUUAAAAAAUAUAACAAUUACUGGAGUGAAAUUUCAUAGUAUUCAGAAGUUCCACCCACAUUAAACUGGAGGAUCAUAUGAUGGAGAGAAUCAUUGGCAAUCAUCUGAGAAGUCUGUCUACCACAUCUCUUCACAGCUUUUCCAUGCUGAAGGCAACAAUGUAUUUUAUGACAAACAAUGAUUCACAGAGGUAGUGCAUAGGAGGCAUCUGUGGUAUUUAACACACAAUUCUUAAUCCCAACUAGCCUAGAAUUCCUAGGACUGGGAAACCCACUCCUUAGGGAAAUCAUCACAUAUUUGUUGGAAGGCAAUUCUCCACAUGUCUCUCAUUUCUGCACCUUAUAAGCAUAGGUACCUACUGCUUUGUUCCAUUUCUGCACCUUAUAAGUAGAGGUACCCUUUGUUCUAGACUAUCUUUUCAAGGACAAUUGUAGCACACACAACCUUGAAAGACAGAUACUGUGUCUUCCUCCAGAGCAAAGAACAAAUUUGAUUACUAGUCUGUAUAAUAAUUAUACCUCUUUCCAAAGCAAAGGGCAAGCAUACUUCCUGCCAUUAUAAAAGAUUCAGAUUUCCCGAGUCAGGAUUCCUCUCCUGGAAUAAAGCUCACUGUGAAUAAGACAUCUACCUGGGUCCAUUCACUUCAUCCCUAUGGAACAUGGAAGCAAGGGGAAACUGACCAAACAUGGUGAGAGACUGGCUACUAUUAUUGCUAUGAGUAAUGAACUAUCCUUUGUCUUGGAUCCAGGAGUUUCAUGUCUUCCACCAGCAUCCAUAAAACUGUGACAAACUAACAAGCUUACUUAAUCUACUUCCUUAGCUUGCAAGUAGACUUAAAAUCUUAGAACUUUCAUAGUUCUUGACAAUAUUCAAGGUAUUAAAAGAGAGACUAGAAGGACUGCAUGGUGGAAAAAAAAUGUACUCAGAAGAAAAAAGCUAACUGCGUUCAUUUGUAAAGAAUUACAUAUACUUAUUUUUUCCUUAGGUUAUAAAUAUCCUAGAAGGAUGCAUUUUAAAAUAUCUAGCUUGAUAGAUUUAGGUUAUUAUAGCAGAAAAUCAUAUGAAUCUUAAAUGAAUAUUUUCAAUAUAUGUUUACUUUUCUCCUAUACUGUUAAUACAAAGCAUAUCCAUAUUUCUAUAAUUUUUAAAACUGAUUUUUCUUUAAUCAGGUCAUCUCUACAGAUAAUUGGCUUAUAAUUCUAUAAGUGUUAUAAAUUAUUUCCAAUUUCUUUCACAAACACAGAACACUUGUAAUCACAGAUCUUUCCUUUAAGGAAACAUAACUUUAUGUAUAGAAAACCAACCACUAUGACCAGAGAUUACAAAUUGCCUGAGGUAGAUAAACAUUAUUUUUUGAUAGGAGUUUUUACAAAAAAAAUUAAAGAAAUUUUUAUAAGAGUUUGACUUAUCACCAAAGAUUAUUUUUCCCACUUCUAUUCAUUAGUUCUACUACUGUAUAUUGCAAUAAAUAUGUACAAAUACAUACACCCCUAGAUUCUUGUAUAAAAAAGCAAAUUUAUUAAGAAGUAUAUAUAUCUUUUGGGAAUUCACUAAAAUAGAAUCUCACAUUCAGACUGAUAUUGGCAUGUAUUUGACAUUUUUGUAUACAUUUAUUUCUCAUUGACUCAUAUUCAAUGAAUAUUUUAAAUGAUAGAAAAAAUAUCCUGGCCUCUGAUUUUCAAGAAGUGAGCUCCUAUGACCAGGGAGACUACAAAGACAUCCCCUGUACACCCUGUUCCAGAUUCCUUAGUUUGGCACAAUUUGUUAGUUCAUCAUUUUUUAAAAAUUUCUGUUUAUAUUAUGAAUGUGGCAUAAAAUUAUUUACUAUGUUUAUCUAUAAAAGUCUUGAUUAUGUUCAUUUUAGGCAUGAGAUAGCAAAUAGUUUGAGAGUCCAUUAAAGUUUCUAUUUCAGUUGGUUGCAAUUAAAAUGAUAAAGCCCUUUUCCACAGCAGGCAUCCACUCGCCACUGGACUCUACCUCAUUGUGGACUGAAAAAUCACUAAGCAUGAGUCAAAAUUAAAUCAGAAGUCAUAUGAAAAUAUUUCCCAAGUACUUGAACAUUCAUGGGUAGUAGUUUACAAAGAGUACAUUUUGCAGAGAGGGAAAAGACUGAGUCAUAACCCUUGCAUUGGAGCUUGUAAUGUUUUCUGCUGUUACUCAGUUUUUGUUUUGGAAAAUAACUGAGUUCACUGGACAAAAACCAUACUCACAAUGGUAUCUUUUCUGCAUCAAAGAGGCCAGGAGAUAUGUGUCAUUCUUUGCCCUUUUAUUUAUUUGGGAAGUCAGAGUCAUAAUACAAAAAAAAAAAAAUCGAAUCUAGGAUGGAUAAGACAAUGGCAUGACAUAUAAGCCAUUCUAAAAGUCUUCACUUUGAAAUUUUGUUAUAUGAAAUAGAUUCCGGAACUUAGAAAGCUGGUUUUAAUUCAGUGUUGUGCAUGUAAAAUAAUAGAUAGAUGGAGACAGAGACACAUAUACAUGGACAUAUUUACAUUUAUAAUGAAACUUGUAAAACUUUGGAAAAUAGGUUAAAAUGUAAAGGAAAACAUUGAAGUUAUCUUGUAUCACACCACCCCUGAUCAUCUCUAUUAACAUUUGGGUGUAAUUCCUUCUAAUACAUCUUUCUUAAGUAUGCAAACACAUGUAUUCAUUAGAAAUUGGAGUGUUGCAUUUUAUACUGUUUUGUGUAAUUUGCCUGUUACGCAAAUAUCAUUGAAAAGUGUCUUAAGAAUGUAAACAUUGGCUUUGAUAUGGUGAAGUCAGUGUGUCCACAGGAGAAGAUGAGAAUGAGUCUUGGAAGGAAGAAGUUUAUUAUCCUUACAGGUUCCAGAGGCGGAGGUUACCGCAUGCCACACAAGGCCCAGGAGAAAACACUGGGGUGGUCAGGAGGUAGAAGCAGGAGUGAGAGGAAAGUCUAGGCAGAGCACUGACUGGGGUUUGGCAAGGCAGGACAGAGGAAAAAUCUUUGGAAUGGCUAGCUUAAAGAAUUCUACCGGGCUUUGGGGCAUUGGGGUGAUGUCUAGUUGCCUGGUACCUAGCCCUGUAAUAAUUUAGGGCCAGGGACAUGGCUUGGUAUCUGAUAAUUAGAUAAGGAGAUGGCUGAAAAAUGGUUGGGGAUUGGCUGGAUUGCAUAUAAAAAACACGCUCCCAGACUGAGCCCUGUGUUCGUUCUUUUUUUUUUUUUUCAGGCAUCUGGCUCUGUGGCCUGGGCUGGAGUGCAAUGACACAAUCUCGACUCACCACAACCUCCGCCUCCCGGGUUCAAGCGAUUCUCCUGCCUCAGCCUCCCGAGUAGCUGGGAUUACAGGUGCCUGCCACCACGCCCAGCUAAUUUAUUGUAGUUUUAGUAGAGAUGGGGUUUCACUAUGUUGGCCAGACUGGUCUUAAACUCCUGACCGCAUGACCUGCCCACCUCAGCCUCCCAAAGUGCUGGGAUUAUAGGCGUGAGACACCACACCCAGCCAGCCCUAUGUUAUUUCUAGGAAAAGCCUAGCCCUGGGAGGGGCAGUCUCUCCCUACUCAGCGAGAAAUGCCAGGGUAUCAAAAGUACAGAAAAUAAGAAAAUAUAGUUAAUAUAAUCUGCCCUGUGAUGAGCAGAUGUCAAAUACAGAAUCUAAGAAAACAUGGAGCAAAAGACAUGGCUUCUUCGUGGCUGCCUAGUAAUCCAUCACAAAUUACACAAAAAUGUAUAAAAAUGUAUUCCACAAAUGACACAGUAGUUCUGCUUUUAUUGGAUAGUUAUCUCUUUGUAGAUGUUUGAUAUUCUAAAUAAUUCCUCAAUGAAUGGACAGAGAGGAAAAAAGAUAAAAAAGAGAAUUCAUGAAUUUACUUUAACUGUUAUAUAUAAAUAUGUGUAAUAUGUAUAAUUAUGUAUGAUACAAUAUAUAAUAUGUAUGUAAAAUAUAACAUAAUCAUAUGAUUAUGAUACAACUGAAUACAGAAAUGAUUAUACCAUUAUGAUGAUAUAUAAUAUUUGUUUGCUUUUGUCUACCUCAGGAAGUUAGUAAAGCAAGCUUAGAUCUGUAUUUACUGACUUCUAGAAAUGCCCACAAUAUAUUGACAUGUGAAAGAAGCAUACUACAGAAUAAUGCAUGUAUUUAAAGUUCAUUUCAGCACUAACAAUCAACCAACCAAACCCCUUUAGAUAAUAUGCUAUAUAUAUUCAUUUCAACAAGGAGAUAGGUAUGAAGGUACAUACCAGACCACUAAAAUUGGUUUCCACUGAGGAAUGCGAAGCAUAGGUAGAAGGAAGGCAGGGAGAGAUAAUUAACUUUGUUUUUAUACUUUUUCAUAUUGUAUCAUUUAAUGUAUUACAACAGAAAUGUAUUAGUAUAAUUUGAAGACAUUCAAUAAAUACAUUUUUUUAAAAAAGAUAAAAACAUUUUGGCUUUUCUUAUUCUUUCCUUUCAAUAACUCUUAGAGAGAAUUUAUUAAUUUAAAAAAUAUGAAUAUUUUAAGGAUUAUAUAUACGUAUUAUAUAUAAAACAUGUGCUCCUAUCAGCAGUGUACAAAAGCAGGUGUCUAUUUCCCCCAUAACUGCUAAUACUGAACAUUCAUGUUUCAAAUAGUGAAAAGAAAUUGUAAACAUACUUUAUUUUACAUUACUAGUAAAAAUGAACUUUUUAACCACUUGUUAUUAUUGUGAGGAUGAAAUGACCA